rfam:Myceliophthora thermophila ATCC 42464 chromosome 1, complete sequence.
UUGGAGUAGGCCCGCUCAGACCGAACUCAUUUCCUGCCUUUUACCGGAUGUGACCGUGAGUUGGCCUAAAAUACUCCAUUUCCCAAUCUUUGGAACCACCUCUCUGGGUCUC